GUCGUGGCGGGGAGAGGAGUCUCCAGACGGAAGUGGGGUGCUGUUCUGAGAGAAAGAAGCAGCUUGGUGCUGGAUGAGAACCCGUGAACACCGAGGCUUCCCUCUGCCUCUCUGCUGACUGGUCCCUUAGCUCUGGGACGACUGAGAAGAGAACCCUGUUGACCAGGAAGGGCAGCCUUGGGAACCUAGCAAAAUGGGAAGGUCCGGGAAAUAUGGUAGACCAGGCAAGGAAAGACCGAGACUGGAAUGGUGCGUGCGGGAUGGGGGCCGAGCAGGCAGGGGCUGAGGCCGGUGGCAUUCCGCAUGAUUACCACCAGAGGGCAGCCUUGCCUAGAGACAAGGGGAAGCAGGCGGCGGUCGGGGCUACGGGUGACUCUUGUCGCUGCCCAGCACAGCAGAUCAUACUGCCAACCCCUAUUGAGCCUCCCCUGCCCUAAGCACUUUCUGUGCGUCAACUCACUGAAUUACCACCAGUGAGGUUGGUACACUUAUUACCCCGUUUUACAGAGGAUGAAACCGAGGCUUUGGAGAAGUUAAGUAAUAGAUCCAAGAUCAUAGAGCUAGAAAGGGGCAAGUCAUGGUUCUGGUCUACUAAACUCUGAGCCUUCUGAGGUCAGGGGCCCCCACAGACCCUAACACAAUCAACUAUUUGCUGAAUGAAUGCCUGUUGAAGUGAGAGCCUGGGGGCUCCAGGGCUGUCCCUGCAUCCCCCACCCUCCCUGCCCCCGAGGGAGCCCCCUAGGCCCAGUUCAGGCGGUGCCUCAUCCAGGUGUGCCGCCCCUGGGAAGAUGAGUCUUGGAGCGUGCCCCGGCCCUGCUGUACUGGAAUCUCAGGAACCUCAUAGCACCAGUGAAAGAGAGUUUAGAUCUUGCCACGGCUUGGCAACUCUGCAGCCCCGCCCUGUAGGUCGCUCUCUGCCCUCCUCCAGGAGCAGCUGGCGACGCAGCUGGGGGGAGAGGAGAGCACGUGCAACGUGAGUUCAUUCAGCAACCCCCUGGGGCUCCCACUGCAGGCCAAACACCACACUAAGUGCUUUGAGGGAGACCGAGAUAAGCGUGCCGCAGCCCCCCACCCCACUCCCCUCUUGGGAGGAGAAAUCAGCCACAGGCAGAAGGACGAACACAGAAGGAAGCCCUGCCUACCAGGAGACAGAAUGUCAACCCUCUCCUCUUCCAGGCAACAAAAAGAAUUGCUUUGCCUGUCCAGCAUCCAUUCUCCAAUCCUGUGGUAACAGCACCCUAAUUUUUCUUUGGUAUCUCAACUUAGGCCACAUGGUUGAGGUGGCACCAGACUCCCAUCUAAGCUCCAGGAGUACCCUUGUUAUCUGGAUUUGACUUGUCAUUGAGUUCUACCACCGUCACGGUCACCCCACCACCAUCACCCCUUCAUAGUCAUUGGUUCAGAGUGGACACACUAUCUAAAUUGGUUCAAUCAGAUAACUCCAUGACUUUUUGGUGGACCACUGGGGAAUGGAGCAUUCUCUCUUCUCUGAAGUGGGAUCUACAAGGAUGUGAGCCUAGAGGCUGUUACAACCUGUCUGAGAAUAGAACCAGUGCUGAGGAAGCAGAGCCAAGAGAUAGAGAAAGCCUGAAUUUUGUGACAUCAUUUGAGCUCCUGGAUGUAGCCAUACCUGAAGCUCAACCUCAUUAGAGGUGGGUUUCUGACACCACCAAACAAAAGCAUUCGGACUGUCACAUGGAGGCUGAGCAAUACGAGCAUGAAGACCAGACAUCCUGAUUUCUAGUCCAGUGCUCUCACCCUGUAUUGUGUUCCAGAUGACUUUAUCCAACAGCACAUCCAAACUUGACUAAUUUAUGUGGCUUUAUGGUUUACUAAAAGAUGGAUUUUAAAAAAUAAAAACAUGUGAUCACAA